ensembl:lncRNA
AGAAAAGCAUGAAUGCAUUUGAAAAUUAUGCUGGUUAUGGUUUCAUCUGUUAAAUGUAAUGCACAACCAAGACCAUUUGUUUUUAUCACUUUACACAUUUAUUCUGGGGUCCAACGAGGAACUAAAAGCUUCUGCUUGAUGAUAAACAAAAGGAGAAGAAUGUAAUUUCAAAAAAACAUUUUCAUGCAUGGAUUUUCUCUUCAACCACCUUUGACCUUUUUCAAAAGGUGCCAAUGAGAGGACGGAGGCCAACUAAUUUAUAGCUGGGAAACCAUCUCACCUUUGAGAAUACAUUCCAAUUCUCAAGUCUAUUGUUGAAAACCAUGCCUUCUUUUAGAAUAUCUUUCUAUUUUAGAGUUAGUUCCACAAUAAUUCCACCACAUCCAGAUGACAGAGAAUAGUGCAGGUGUCCGAUAGGCCGUUCUGAGAGAUGGGGAGGGGCUACCUACACUAACCACACACCAAAAGAGGAGGGGGUUGGGGCUGUAAUUGUAGAGCACCAAUAGAAGACAGCUAUCAGACUGUAAGACUGCCAUCCCCUUAAUCUUCAUACAGUAUAAACAUAUUAAACAGCCCUGUCUCACAUACCUCUCUACAACACAGGAAACACCUCCCUCCAGAUAACAGACAUACCUCUCCACAACACAGGAAACACCUCCCUACAGAUAACAGACAUACCUCCCCACAACACAGGAAACACCUCCCUCCAGAUAACAGACAUAUCUCUCCAGAACACAGAAAACAC